rnacentral:rRNA from 1 species
UACGAAGGGGGGCUAGCGUUGCUCGGAAUUACUGGGCGUAAAGGGCGCGUAGGCGGCACUGUUAGUCAGGCGUGAAAGUCCUGGGCUCAACCUGGGAACUGCGCUUGAUACGGCAGAGCUAGAGGAUGGAAGAGGCUCGCGGAAUUCCCAGUGUAGAGGUGAAAUUCGUAGAUAUUGGGAAGAACACCGGUGGCGAAGGCGGCGAGCUGGUCCAUUACUGACGCUGAGGCGCGACAGCGUGGGGGAGCAACAGG